UCCUGGCUCAGGAUGAAACGCUGGCGGCGUGCCUAACACAUGCAAGUCGAACGGGUGUACGGGAAGGAAGGCUUCGGCCGGAAAACCUGUGCAUGAGUGGCGGACGGGUGAGUAACGCGUGGGCAACCUGGCCUGUACAGGGGGAUAACACUUAGAAAUAGGUGCUAAUACCGCAUAACGGGGGAAGCCGCAUGGCUUUUCCCUGAAAACUCCGGUGGUACAGGAUGGGCCCGCGUCUGAUUAGCCAGUUGGCAGGGUAACGGCCUACCAAAGCGACGAUCAGUAGCCGGCCUGAGAGGGCGGACGGCCACACUGGGACUGAGACACGGCCCAGACUCCUACGGGAGGCAGCAGUGGGGGAUAUUGCACAAUGGGGGGAACCCUGAUGCAGCGACGCCGCGUGGGUGAAGAAGCGCCUCGGCGCGUAAAGCCCUGUCAGCAGGGAAGAAAAUGACGGUACCUGAAGAAGAAGCCCCGGGCUAACUACGUGCCAGCAGCCGCGGGUAAUACCUCGC
rnacentral:rRNA from 1 species